UGAAAUUUUCAAACAAUUUUUUUAUUCUUUAAAUUCAUUGUUGUUUUUGUAUAUGUUAAAAGAAACACACAAAAAAUCAAUGGACAAAAUGGUGAGCAGUAGCUUUUCAAAGAUCAAGAAAUCAACUUGAAGAACUUGACAUUCACUCAGUGUUCAAGAAUUUGUUAUUCCUUUGAUAUUUUUUGUUGUUGUUAAUAUCAAGUCAAGAAAUUCUUUAAUUUAUUAGUCUUCCAUUUGAAAAUGUGAUACACAAAAUAAACAUUGUCUACAGUAUUUGAACACAGUUUCAUGACAAAUCAAAGUAAAAAAAAAAAAACAGACAGCCGAAGGUAAAAUAAAAUCUUGUACAAAAAUUACUAGGCACUUAACAAAAAAACUUCAGAAUUAAAACAGAUGGAGAUAUAGAUGUGUUGGAUAUAGACAACACAAAAUGUUGUACAUUGACUAUAGCCUGUUAUUUAUAUAUAUAUAUAUAUAUAUAUAGACAGAGCACAGAGUUCUUAGAUGUCAUUGAAUAUAGUAUAUUUAUACACAAGUCUACAUAAUAACAGUGGAAGUCUAUGCUCAAGUAGUCUGGACAGAUGAGGAGUGAAUCAUGAAAUGAAUCGAGAGCAAUGAAUUCUUCAUACCUUUCUUUUUUGGUGUGUGAAUUUAAAAAAAU